GACAGAGGCCUCAAGCGUUAGGCGGAAUCACUGGGCUUAAAGCGUGUGUAGGCGGACUUCUAAGUGCCUUGUGAAAUCCCACGGCUCAACCGUGGAACUGCUGGGCAUACUGGGAGUCUUGGGCCAUUCAGGGGCAACUGGAACAAGCGGUGGAGCGGUGAAAUGCGUAGAUAUCGCUUGGAACGCCGAAGGUGAAAACAGGUUGCUGGAGAUAUGCCGACACUGAGACGCGAAAGCCAGGGGAGCAAACGGG
rnacentral:rRNA from 1 species